ensembl:lncRNA
CUCCUCUAAGGCCAAUGCCUUAAUUUGCAAUUUUAAAGAAACCGGUCUACACAUAGAUGCUCAGGUCUUGUGGAAACAUAUUGUUUUUUAUUUGUCUGUCUGUAUUCAAUUUAUGAAAACAUUGACAUUCUUCAGCUUAAUUUGGUGUGCAUCCUGAUAAAGACUGUGCAUGGCUGUAACAUCACAAAGAGAAUGGGAAAUCUAAGAGAUGCACCUCCUCUGCCAUUUUCCUCAAAUGUGGAUCAGAUGAUCUAGGCAAAGGUAACCCUGUUGAUUCUUAUCCAGCUGAAGAUAUCUCGAACGGUACUACACUGUAUGUAACAAUAAUUGCAAUAGAGUGGAGAGUUGAAACCAUGGUCAGCAUUUGUAUGUUGCAAUGGGGCAAUAGGUUUGAUUCAACUAAACUCAGUAUAAUUCAGUUUUAUUUAUAUAGCACCAAUUCACGAUAUAUGUCAUUUCAAGGCAGUUCAUAUAGUAAGGUGAAGACCUUACAUAUUAUAUACAGAGAAACCCAGCACAUCUAAAGUUUCCUUUGGAUUCCCCUUGAGCAAAAACCUGACAACAGUGGGCAGAAAAAAACUCUCCUUUAACGGGAAGGAAAAAAGACCUCCAGGAGAACCAGGCUCGGGGCAGGUGGACAUCUGCCUGGGCCAGUUGGGGAGAGGGUAAAGGGGAGAGAGAACAGGACAGCACAAGCACAGACAAGCAACGCAUAAGAAAAACAGUAAACACAUUUGAGGUUGGUGAGGCUAGUAGCUGCAGAUCCAGAGAUACCUGCAGAGAGGACACGAAGUUAGUGACAUCGAUUCAUGGAUGUCUUUCAUUUGGUUAAUUUUGUACUCUGCCAUGACCAGGAAAUGUGUUCAGACUGCAAGUGAUGUCUGUUAUGCACUGACACUGAUCAUAUCAUGUCCUUAUCUAAAAUUACAUUCAUAUAACCAUUCUUUUAAAUAUGAAUCUAAGAAUGAGACAUUUGUGUCAAAACAACAGUUAUAUGUAAAAUCAUCAACUUUCUAAUUAGAUAAGAUGCCCUAUUGACGUAUGCAGAUUGGGGCCAAGAUUUUCUAGUAGUCCACAAACACACACAGGUUAUUGUUGAUGUUUUGGAUCUCAGCACAGUUCAGAUGUGAGGGAACAUUUAGGGAAUUGUGGGUACCUGAAAAAAGUUAAGGAGUAUAUCUUGCUUUGGUAAAAGUUUGCUUGUUUGUUUCUUCUCAGAGCUGUUUACCUUUCACAUUUUAUUCUUGGUUUUCACUGGCUCAUGUUCUGUAUUCUCAGCAGUCUGUAAAACAGAAGUGAUGGUUCCACCUCAAAUAGGGAAAUACGUUUUUUUCUAGGAGUGUCUGUUUUAGGCAGAAACUAAAACAGUUGUGACGUCUUUGUUGUUGGUAUUACAUUCUGGUUUGCCUCCAUUUGUAUAGCAGUAUUUAUUUCUAUAAUUAAAACAAACAGAAGUAGUUGGACUGGCUAGACUUUGAGCUAGCAAUAUGUGCAUUUGUUAAAAAAAUUGUUUAUCUCUUAUAUAUGUGCACAAGCAUUAAGCCUUUUAAUGAUACAACACACAACAAUGUUAAUGAUUGUAUAGAUGACACAAA